CCAGACUCCUACGGGAGGCAGCAGUGAGGAAUAUUGGUCAAUGGGCGGGAGCCUGAACCAGCCAAGCCGCGUGAAGGAAGAAGGCGCCAAGCGUCGUAAACUUCUUUUGUCGGGGAACAAAGGGCGCCACGUGUGGCGUUGUGAGUGUACCCGAAGAAAAAGCAUCGGCUAACUCCGUGCCAGCAGCCGCGGUAAUACGGAGGAUGCGAGCGUUAUCCGGAUUUAUUGGGUUUAAAGGGUGCGUAGGCGGUCCGGAAAGUCAGCGGUAAAAGCCCGGGGCUCAACCCCGUACUGCCGUUGAAACUGCAUCCCUUGAGUGCGCGAGAAGUAUGCGGAAUGCGUGGUGUAGCGGUGAAAUGCAUAGAUAUCACGCAGAACUCCGAUUGCGAAGGCAGCAUACCGGCGCGCAACUGACGCUGAAGCACGAAAGCGUGGGUAUCGAACAGGAUUAGAUACCCCAGUAAA
rnacentral:rRNA from 1 species